GAGUCGGUGUAGAGUUUGGUCAUCCGUAUGGGAAGCUAGCUCGGCCUUCACUGGUCGGCUAGUGGAUCAUACACUUUACUUUGAAAAAAUUAGAGUGUUUCAGGCAGGCAAUUGCUUGGAUACUGCAGCAUGGAAUAAUGGAAUAGGACUUUGACCUAUUUGUUGGUUUCUCGAGGUCAAAGUAAUGAUUAAUAGGGAUAGUUGGGGGCAUUCGUAUUUAAUUGUCAGAGGUGAAAUUCUUGGAUUUAUUAAAGACGAACUUAUGCGAAAGCAUUUGCCAAGGAUGUUUUCAUUAAUCAAGAACGAAAGUUAGGGGAUCGAAGACGAUCAGAUACCGUCGUAGUUCAAUCUAUAAACUAUGCCGACCAGGGGUUAGAAGAUGUGUACAAACUAGUAGGGAAACUUGCUAGUCUAACUCUUUUGGAACCUUAUGAGAAAUCAAAAGUUUUUGGGUUCUGGGGGGAGUAUGGUCGCAAGGCUGGAACUUAAAAGAAUUGACGGAAGGGCACCACCAGGAGUGGAGCCUGCGGCUUAAUUUGACUCAACACGGGGAAACUCACCAGGUCCGGACAUAGGAAGGAUUGACAGAUUGAAAGCUCUUUCUUGAUUCUAUGGGUGGUGGUGCACGGCCGUUCUUAGUUGGUGGAAUGAUCUGUCUGGUUAAUUCCGAUAACGAACGAGACCACAGCCUAUUAAAUAGUAGAAAGAAUAAGUAUAUAUGGGUGAAGUGAUAGGUUCUGUGCA
rnacentral:rRNA from 1 species